rnacentral:misc_RNA from 1 species
GAAAUGCGAAAAGCAAUGCGAAUUGCAGAAUUCCGCGAGUCAUCAGAUCUUCGAACGCACCUCGCGCCGAUCGGAUAUCCGGUUGGCAUGUUUGUUUCAGUGUCUUGUUGAGACUCACAUAUCUCAUUGUGGUUGAAGACUCUAAACCGGUCUUCUCCCACUAAAUAUGCGAAUGCGCAAGCCGCAACUGAUGCAGUAGUCACAUUUACUGUGAUACUCGUUAGUAAUGCAGCACCAUUGCGUUAUCACACAACUCAACCUCACACAUACGCAUCUGAAGCAAGCAAGAACACCCGCUGAACUUAA